rnacentral:rRNA from 1 species
GAUGAACGCUGGCGGCGUGCCUAAUACAUGCAAGUCGAGCGAACAGACGAGGAGCUUGCUCCUCUGACGUUAGCGGCGGACGGGUGAGUAACACGUGGAUAACCUACCUAUAAGACUGGGAUAACUUCGGGAAACCGGAGCUAAUACCGGAUAAUAUAUUGAACCGCAUGGUUCAAUAGUGAAAGACGGUUUUGCUGUCACUUAUAGAUGGAUCCGCGCCGCAUUAGCUAGUUGGUAAGGUAACGGCUUACCAAGGCAACGAUGCGUAGCCGACCUGAGAGGGUGAUCGGCCACACUGGAUCUGAGACACGGUCCAGACUCCUACGGGAGGCAGCAGUAGGGAAUCUUCCGCAAUGGGCGAAAGCCUGACGGAGCAACGCCGCGUGAGUGAUGAAGGUCUUCGGAGCGUAAAACUCUGUUAUUAGGGAAGAACAAAUGUGUAAGUAACGAUGCACGUCUGGACGGUACCUAAUCAGAAAGCCACGGCUAACUACGU